ACUCUUUUACAUGCUUUUCCAUUACAUUGUAUGUGAAACCGCACAUAGCAAGGCUACAUAAUACAGAGACAACAACACAAUUCUCAUCAGUCUGAGGAAGAGGUCUUGCAAUAAACUUCGAAUCUUUCUUCGAUUAAUGGUUUUCGAAACAUAAGCUGUUUUGAGAAACAGCUUUCGCUUCAGAAUUCAACAAUGAAAAAGACAAUUUACUAUUAUGCUGUGAUGGCAUUAAUGCUAUAUGCUUUUAUUUUCGGUCAGAAGAUCAUAAAAGUAGGAUUCUCAGGCCCUCAGUUUCCCCACCCUCAAGAAUAGUGGGAAUGUUGACACAAGUUUUAC